rnacentral:rRNA from 1 species
AGCGAACGCUGGCGGCAGGCUUAACACAUGCAAGUCGAGCGCCCCGCAAGGGGAGCGGCAGACGGGAGAGUAACACGUGGGAACGUGCCCUUUAGUUCGGAACAACCCAGGGAAACUUGGGCUAAUACCGGAUACGUCCGUAAGGAGAAAGAUUGUAUCGCUAAAGGAUCGGCCCGCGUCUGAUUAGCUAGUUGGUGAGGUAACGGCUCACCAAGGCGACGAACAGUAGCUGGUCUGAGAGGAUGAUCAGCCUCACUGGGACUGAGACACGGCCCAGACUCCUAGGGGAGGCAGCAGUGGGGAAUAUUGGACAAGGGGCGCAAGCCUGAUCCAGCCAUGCCGCGUGGGUGAUGAAGGCCCUAGGGUUGUAAAGCCCUUUCGGCGGGGAAGAUAAUGACGGUACCCGCAGAAGAAGCCCCGGCUAACUUCGUGCCAGCAGCCGCCGUAA